UACGUAGGGGGCAAGCGUUGUCCGGAAUUACUGGGCGUAAAGGGCUCGUGAGGCGCCAACUAAGUCGGAUGUGAAAUCCCCAGGCUCAACCUGGGAACUGCAUCCGAUACUGGAUGGCUUGAAUCCGGGAGAGGGAUGCAGAAUUCCAGGUGUAGCGGUGAAAUGCGUAGAUAUCUGGAGGAACACCGGUGGCGAAGGCGGCAUCCUGGACCGACACUGACGCUGAGGAGCGAAAGCGUGGGAGCGAACAGG
rnacentral:rRNA from 1 species